rnacentral:lncRNA from 1 species
CAGAGAUUCUAGAAUUUUAAAAGUCAAACAUACCAAAAAUCAAUUACAUUAACUUGAAGAUGAAAGAAUCGGGCUACUAGAUGAAAAAAAUUAUAGAAAAACUAACAACACCUGAAAAACAAUGAAAUUGAGAUUGUCAGUCUCAAGGGUGCGUUAAAAUCAUAUAUCCAAAAACAAAUACAAAUACUUCAAUAACACAUUUGUUUGAUUUAAAAUAAAAUAUUAAGUCAUGCAAAAACACGUGUCAUGCCAUGCUUCUUAUAAAAUGAAUUUUAUAUACUACGGGAAUGGAGUACCUCAGUAGAACCCUAAUCCCUAUUACUAAAUAGUCUUAGCCUUUUGGCUCUCUCGUUCCAACAGGCGCCCAGAGAGCGAAGCUCGACCAGGAUCCAUAAAUCCAGUCUGAUCACUUAAAUUUCCAACAAAGCCAACGCCUAGAGGGCAAUGCUCGAUCGGGAACCUUUACUCUGGCAAAGUCACUCUACUCAGCCCAGAGAGUUAAACUCGACGAAGGCAAGUUCUAAAUUUACCUUUUACUAUCUGUCUCAUAUUCAUACCGGUGCGCACGCAGUCCUGAUGCAACCCAUCAAGUGGUAUAUUUUACUGCCGUCUCAUCCCGAGUCAACAUGCAUUUACAAUAGCAUUGAUGCAGAAGAUGAUACAUAUAUGAAUAGUAAUUAAAUAAAUAAUUAAAAUAUUAAAUCAUUUAAUCAGGACUAUUACGUAAAAUCUUAGCAUGACACAUGUAAACAGAUAUAUGACUUUAACUCAUAGUUUUGACGACCUCCUAGCUCUGCUCCAAUGCCUCGGGUGGAGUGAGCCGAAUAGAUGGAUUUAUCUAAUCAUAGGAACAAUUCAGUCAGAAAAAGUAAAAUAUUUGAUAAAUAACCCUAGGCCUAGACUCCUAGAAUUAACUGCUUAAGAAUUUCGACUCGAGUAAAUUCUACCGAAAAUUCGGCAGAACCUCCCCUAAACACCGACGUCUACCCCACGUAUAACGGGUCCAGGAUCUGCAGAAAACACUUUAAAUUUCACCAACAAUUUAUUUAAUGGGAGUCAGGUCACUAAUUCAUUAUUUUUUCCCACUCCGCCAUACAUCACAAAUUACGAUUAUUGGCAAACGGUCCGACAAUUUAUUAUUUCGAUAAACAAACCUCAUAUAAUUUUUCUAAUGCUCAACACAAUAAUUAAUCACAUAAUUUUUCUCAACAAACUCUAAAAUCUAUGGGCUAGAGAAUUACCGAGAUGCUUGAUCAUUCAGUUGACUCGCCUCCAGCAGCCGGAGUCUGAUCGACGAUCCGAACGCGCCUACGGACUCAAAACAACGCGCUGAUGAUGAUUCUAGCACCCGAUCUUUCAAUCUGACCCCCGAUCAUCCAGAGAAAUUUACGGACGAUUUCAACCGUCAAUUUUCAAACAGAGUCUGAUCGCUGCAAAACUAGUGGCGUUAGAAAGCUUGAGCUGAUGGGAGUCCGAAUAUGUCCUCUGAUAGGCCAAAGCUCGCCGGAACUCACCGAAAAAUGCCCAAGAUCCCGGCUGCCCCUAAUUUCUCUCUCCAUUGCAAACUUUCAACUCCGGCCACCAUUUGCGUCACUACCACCGCCGAAAUGAAACUCAGGUGGAAGAGAGUCAUUUGCCACCAAGAACAGCGGCUACCGACGCCGGGAAUGCCACGUACGGUGGCAUGGAAAGCUAUGCUUGCCUUCCUUGCUCCCAUGCUUGUCGUCGCCGUUCACAACCGCCGCCGAUACCAAUGAGCAAGCCGACGACAGCUGCACCUCUAGCCGUUGUGCCGCACCCGAUCGUGCACCCAUCACCACCCGCCAUCGAAGCUGAUGCCUCC